GAUGAACGCUGGCGGCGUGCUUAACACAUGCAAGUCGAACGAUGAAGCCCAGCUUGCUGGGUGGGUUAGUGGCGAACGGGUGAGUAACACGUGAGUAACCUGCCCUUAACUCUGGGAUAAGCCUUGGAAACUGGGGCUAAUACCGGAUAGGAGCGCCUACCGCAUGGGGGGUGUUGGAAAGAUUUAUCGGUGUUGGAUGGACUCGCGGCCUAUCAGCUUGUUGGUGAGGUAAUGGCUCACCAAGGCGACGACGGGUAGCCGGCCUGAGAGGGUGACCGGCCACACUGGGACUGAGACACGGCCCAGACUCCUACGGGAGGCAGCAGUGGGGAAUAUUGCACAAUGGGCGAAAGCCUGAUGCAGCGACGCCGCGUGAGGGAUGACGGCCUUCGGGUUGUAAACCUCUUUCAGUAGGGAAGAAGCGAAAGUGACGGUACCUGCAGAAGAAGCACCGGCUAACUACGUG
rnacentral:rRNA from 1 species